AAUUGUGAUGGAAAGCACAGCCAAAGAGGGUGAUAGCCCCGUAAGUGAUUUUGAAAUUCGAGAGACAAUUGAUUACUACAUCAGAGUAUAGUUGUUUGAAAUUGCAACUAGAAGGUUGGGGAUAUGUCUCCCCAAAGGCUAAAUAUUAGUGUGAAACCGAUAGUAAACAAGUACCGUGAGGGAAAGUUGAAAAGCACUCUGAAGAGAGAGUGAAAAGUAUGUGAAACCGAUGCGGGGGAAGGGAAUUGGCUGUUAGUAUACUCAGUGCCGGUUUAGCCGGUGAAAGAGUAGUGAUUAUAGUAUUGUGAAUGCAGAAGAGAUGAAGGUUUAGAGUUGUUGUUGGAUCAUUAUUGAACCGACUCAAUCUAUCCUAAAUAAAUGAAAUGAGCUAAUAGUCUCCAUUUCGAAUAUAUUCUGCCAGUGAGCGAUACGGAUAACACCUAUAAUGGCCAUUCCUGCCCGUCUUGAAACACGGACCAAGGAGUGUGUUGUUGCGGGCAAGUCAAUCCAUAGUAACUAAAUGGACAGGCGCAGUGAAAGCAAAGAUCCACUAUUUAAUAGUUGGUAGCUUGUCGAAGUGAUGGUAUAGGUGCAGGUACCCGCAACUUCCGGUGGCAAUUUGCACUUAAUCUGUCAUCCGUUAGCCCGUAACACACGACCCGAAAGAUGGUGAUCUAUGCUUGGGCAGAGUGAAGCCACGAGAAAUCAUGGUGGAAGCUCGCAGCGAUUCUGACGUGCAAAUCGAUCGCGUGACCUGAGUAUAGGGGCGAAAGACCAAUCGAACCAUCUAGUAGCUGGUUCCCUCCGAAGUUUCCCUCAGGAUAGCAAAGAUUCAUUCAAUAAAUAAAUAAUUUCAUCGGGUAAAGCGAAUGAUUAGAGGACUGGGGGAAUAUAAUUCCUUCACCUAUUCUCAAACUUUAAAUCGGUGAGACGUUCUUGUCAUUUAAUUAGACUUGAACUAAAUAUGGGGCUUUCAGUCUGACUGUUGGCAACCAUUUGAAUAUGAGAAUCUUUUGUGGGCCGUUUUUGGUAAGCAGAACCGGCGAUGUGGGAUGAACCAAAAGUUAAGUUAAGGCGCCUAACUACUUGUUCAUGAGUAACCAAAAAAGGUGUUGGUUGAUGGAGACAGCAGGACGGUGGCCAUGGAAGUCGGAAUCCGCUAAGGAGUGUGUAACAACUCACCUGCCGAAUCAACCAGCCCUGAAAAUGGAUGGCACUUGAACUCGUGGCCUAUACUUAACCAUGAACUUAAAAGAUUAGUCGUUAAGCCAGUGAUCUGCACCCUCUGGUGACUAAAUCAAAUUUUGUUUGCGACCUGAUCUAUUAAUUUAGUUCUAACUGCAUUCAAUUUAAAUACAGUUCAUGAGUAGGAGGGAACAGCGGUUGCAGUAAAGCAUGCUUGUGAAAUCAUGUGUGUAGCAGCCGUUAGCUCAGAUCUUGGUGGUAGUAGCAAGUACUCAAUUAUGAACUUUGAGGACUGAAGCGGGAAAGGUUUCCAUGUGAACAGCGUUUGAACAUGGGUUAGUCGGUCCUUAGGAACAUGCUAAUGCAAAUUGAAUGUUCAUGUUCGUUAUAUCAUUAACUUGGUAUAUUCGUCUGAACAAGUUCCGAAAGGGAAUCAGGUUAAUAUUCCUGAACCACUUCUAUUUGUGUUUGAGAUGACGGUAACGUUGCGUGACGAUUCAACUCGGUUAUUGGAGACUGGCGAAGAGUUUUCUUUUCUUGAUAACCAGAUAACAGCUCCUUGGAAUUGCUUUAUGCAGAGAUAAGGGCUCGUAGACUGGGAAGAGCACAACAGCAUUUGUUGUGUGACCACGUUCUCUGAUAAUCCCUUGAAAGUUGGAUUUCACAAUAUACUAAUAGAAGUGUCCGUACCUUAAACCGCAUCAGGUCCCCAAGGUGAGAAGCCUCUUGUUUUGGAACAGUGUAGGUAAGGGAAGUCGGCAAUCUAGAUCCGUACCUUAGGAAGAAGGAUUGGCUCUGAUGAUUGGGUGUAU
rnacentral:rRNA from 1 species